ACUCCUACGGAAGGCAGCAGUGGGGAAUUUUGCGCAAUGGGCGAAAGCCUGACGCAGCAACGCCGCGUGUGUGACGAAGGCCCUAGGGUUGUAAAGCACUGUGGGAGGGGAAGAAAAACCGGAGUGUAUCCGGUCUUGACGGUACCCUGUUAGAAAGCACCGGCUAACUACGUGCCAGCAGCCGCGGUAAU
rnacentral:rRNA from 1 species